UAUCCUAGAUGUGAUGGUUGGGGAUGACACUCAGUAGCCUCCAUAUUUAUUUCUAACCACUUCCUUCAUUACUUACUUCCUGCCUCCCACCAAGAAGAGUAAAAAGGCCUGAAAUUUGCAUCCCAGCCUCCCUUUGGGCUAGUGCAUGGGCCUGUGACCCAAUUCUGGCCAGUGAUUUUGAAGAAGUACUCUGGGGGUAGAAAUCACCAGGAAAGAUUUUUCCUCUGGUUAAAAAGAUAUGUAUAACACAAAACUGCUCUUUCUUUUUUACUCUGAAGGUAAUUAUGUGAAGACAUAAUGGAGAUAUGUAAUGUAAUGUGAAGACAUAAUUACAAAUGGAGAUGCACCAGCCACUUUAUAAUCAGAGAAACAAACCUGAAAGGGAAGGCCAACACACCCAGGAUGACAUCCCAGCAGAAGAAUGACGGGAACACUGGGUCCCUGAUCACCUCAUUUUCGUUCUGGACCUCUUGUUAAACAACUUCAACAAACUCCCAGGCUACUUAGGAUCCCUAACUGAAGUUUUGAGCCGUGGUGGAAGAUGGCUUCCAAAGAUGGCCACCAGCAAUUCCUCCCCUCAUUCUGCGCAUGUGCCACACCUACCAUACAAAGGUAGAAUCUACUCCCCCCUGCUCUUGUAUCUGGGGUAACUUUGUGACUUGCUUUGACCAGUAGAAUGUGUAGAAGUAGCACUGUGAGUUCUAGGUCUCAGCUUUAGAGGCCUGGCAGUUUGUACCCGCCCUCUUGGAACUGGGAGUCACCAUACAGAGAGACUUGGCUAUCCUGAAGGAGAAAGGGGAGAUUGCAGCCUUCUAGACAUCUCAGUGUUCCCUACCAAGACGUGUCUGCAAAGCUUUCUUGGAUAUUCCAGUGCCAACUAAGCUCUCAUCUGAAAUCAGCCUCAUGGGUGAUCCCAGCAGACACCAUAUAGAUCAGAGAAACAAUCUAACUGAGUAUAACCAAGCAUGGAAUUGUGGGAAAUGAGAAAAUAUUGUUAUUUCAAAUCAUUAAGUCUUGGGGUGGUUGUUACAUGGUAAUAGGUAAUUGAAACACCGGUUAUCAGUAGUUUUAAAAGCUAUAGAUUUGACUUGCAUGCAUAGCUGUGGAAAAGAUUACUACACUCCUACUUUAAUGUCUAUUGCUAAUUAUUUUCUUAGUAAUAGACCCCUGCUUUUUAGCGGGUUAUAUGGCUAUCCAGAAUAAAAAGUAUAUUCCCCAGUCUUCCUUGUGUCCA
rnacentral:lncRNA from 1 species